AUCGUCUGUAAUUCGCUGUGGCUGUUUUAGUGUUUAACGUUCUACAGUUGUUGUUCAACAGUAAUUGCCACCAGCCAAUACGCGAACAACAGUAGAUAAUUUGUUGUCCGAUAAUAAUUCUUUUGAAGAAAACAAAGAAGUAUUAUUUGGUUCAAAUUCAUCACAAGUACAAAGCACAUCAAAUUCACAGGAUAUACAAACCAUUUUAGAGAGUGUUAGACCUCAUUCAGAUAUUCAAAAAGAAACAAAAUCUGCAUCAAAAAUAAAUGUAUUUGAUAAAUUCAUCAAUUCUGAAUCUUCUGAAGCUUCUGUUAGCGAUAAUUUACUAGAUUCAGAAAAGAAGCUGCGUACUCCAACUUUGAUACGACAAGUAAUAACUCCAGCUGGUUCUGGUGAUAAUAGAGAUGAUGAUGGAUAUAUAGCUUUUCAAAAAUCCAUAAAUAGAAAUAUUAUUGUUAUGUAACACAAUUUGAAAAAUAUCCAAGAAAUUAUUGACAAUUUAUUUGCAGUACAACAACAAAUAUUGGAUAAAUUGAAUAUCCAAUCAGAAACAUUACAUUUUGAUAAUACUGAUGAUGAUAUGUUGCGUAUUAAUAAUUAUGCUGAUUUAGAUAUUAUGGAAGAUAAACUUGCUAAGGAACAAACAUU